AUUGAACGCUGGCGGCAGGCUUAACACAUGCAAGUCGAGCGGGGGAAGGUAGCUUGCUACCGGACCUAGCGGCGGACGGGUGAGUAAUGCUUAGGAAUCUGCCUAUUAGUGGGGGACAACACCUCGAAAGGGAUGCUAAUACCGCAUACGUCCUACGGGAGAAAGCAGGGGAUCUUCGGACCUUGCGCUAAUAUAUGAGCCUAAGUCGGAUUAGCUAGUUGGUGGGGUAAAGGCCUACCAAGGGGACGAUCUGUAGCGGGUCUGAGAGGAUGAUCCGCCACACUGGGACUGAGACACGGCCCAGACUCCUACGGGAGGCAGCAGUGGGGAAUAUUGGACAAUGGGGGGAACCCUGAUCCAGCCAUGCCGCGUGUGUGAAGAAGGCCUUAUGGUUGUAAAGCACUUUAAGCGAGGAGGAGGCUACUUUAGUUAAUACCUAGAGAUAGUGGACGUUACUCGCAGAAUAAGCACCGGCUAACUCUGUGCCAGCCGCCGCCGUAA
rnacentral:rRNA from 1 species